AAAUUCACUAUUAUUUUAUUAAGGCUGAAUAUAUAGAUAGCCUCCUAAAUUUGUCUAAAAAUUUCAUUUAAACACCUCAACUAAGAAACUUUCCUAUUGAACACUUAAACAUUAGUCAAAGCGUGCCUGCACUUUUGACUAUCAGCCAAAACAUUUAGGCGCGUACAUUUCAAACGCAGCUUGUGUGGCAACAUAGCCAAUGAAAAAAAAGCUCCAGCAACAACAACAACAAAAAAAAAAAAUUAAAAAAAAAAAAAGAAAAGAAAAGGAAUGGUACACGUCUGAAUUUAGUCGUCUUCUAUAAUCACCUUGACUCUACCACCGUAAUCCCUCGUUACCUGCACAACCAAUUAGUUCCACCACUUUCUCCCUCUGCUACGUCACUUUCCCCUGCCCCUCCCAAUCAUUCAUUUUUUUUUCUUCACUUCUACUUUUGCCGCAAUGGUUUCAAUUUUUCAUCAUCCAAUUUUUACACCACACGACUGGAGAACUGUCAUUAGCGGUGUGCUAACAAAAUAAAUUCAGCUACUUCUUUAACAUAGCAACCUUUGAACAGAAAAACAAUUUGUAAAUGGGGGUUCCUCAAGUUUCCUUCCUUUUCAAUCUGAAUUUUUCCUUUAUAUUUUAGAACACCAUUUUGUAGUGUGAAAUUUCCUCGAGAAUUGAGCAGCAUGGCCACUGCUAUAAGGUAUUCGUUUGCUUCCACAUCAGAUAUAUAGCUCUGCCAGAUCUGUUGGAUUAUUGAAUUGAUGACCGGAAAAUUAACAGCAUUUUUCAGUCCUUUAAUAUAGGCCAUCUUCCAUCUUCUAGUAGCCAAAUGAAUGAAUUCUUCAAUUUAGUUUAGCUUUUGGUAGCACUUCCAUUGCUUGCAUUCUCUUGUUCUCUCAAGAGAUGGUCGUGGCCGGCAGCGAACGGUGGUCACAGAUUAUCAAAGAUAGUGAGACAUCUGAAGGAGGGAUUACAGUUGGUUUAGGACUGUUUGAGUUUGUUUGGUUAAAGGAAAAGAAGAUUAAAGUUACUUCACGCGCUAGAAAGAAGCGGCAAACACAUACCAUGCCAUUCAAGCAAUAUGUGUCUAAUAGGUACACUGUGACUAAUGUUUAAGUGUUAAAUAGGAAAGUUUCUUAGUUGAGAUGCUUAAAUGGAAUUUUGGGACAAGUUUAGGGAAUUGUCUAUGUAUUCAGCCUUUUGUUAAUAUACUUUUAUUAACGGAA